rnacentral:rRNA from 1 species
UACGUAGGGUGCGAGCGUUAAUCGGAAUUACUGGGCGUAAAGCGUGUGCAGGCGGUCUGUUAAGACAGGUGGGAAAUCCCCGGGCUUAACCUGGGAAUUGCGCUUGUUACUGGCAGACUAGAGUGCGUCAGAGGGAGGUGGAAUUCCACGUGUAGCAGUGAAAUGCGUAGAGAUGUGGAGGAACACCGAUGGCGAAGGCAGCCUCCUGGGAUGACACUGACGCUCAUACACGAAAGCGUGGGGAGCAAACAGG